UGGGGAAUAUUGGACAAUGGGCGGAAGCCUGAUCCAGCAACGCCGCGUGAGGGAUGACGGCCUUCGGGUUGUAAACCUCUUUCAGUACCGACGAAGCGUGAGUGACGGUAGGUACAGAAGAAGGACCGGCCAACUACGUGCCAGCAGCCGCGGUAAUACGUAGGGUCCGAGCGUUGUCCGGAAUUAUUGGGCGUAAAGGGCUCGUAGGCGGUUUGUCGCGUCGGGAGUGAAAACACCGGGCUUAACUCGGUGCUUGCUUUCGAUACGGGCAGACUAGAGGUAUGCAGGGGAGAAUGGAAUUCCUGGUGUAGCGGUGAAAUGCGCAGAUAUCAGGAGGAACACCGGUGGCGAAGGCGGUUCUCUGGGCAUUACCUGACGCUGAGGAGCGAAAGUGUGGGGAGCGAACAGG
rnacentral:rRNA from 1 species